GACGAACGCUGGCUGCGUGCUCAACCCAUGCACGUCGUACGAGUGGCGAACGGUUGAGUAACACGUGGGUGAUCUGCCUUGCACUUCGGGAUCAGCCUGGGAGACUGGGUCUAAUGCCGGAUUGUGCAAGAUGAGCUCGCGGCCUAUAAGCUUGUUGGUGGGGUAAUGGCUACCAAGGCGCGACGGGUAGCCGGCCUGAGAGGGGGUAAGGACACAUUGGGACUGAGAAGCGGCCAAGAUCCCGACGAGAGGCGGCAGUGGGGACGAUUGAACAAGGGGCGGAAGCCUGAUGCAGGGACGCCGGGUGGGGGGUGAAGGCGUUCGGGUUGUAAUCUCCUUUCGACAGGGACGCGCCACCUGUAUACGAAGCGCCGGGUAGACAGGUGCCAGCAGCCGCGGUAAUAC
rnacentral:rRNA from 1 species